UACGUAGGGUGCGAGCGUUGUCCGGAAUUAUUGGGCGUAAAGAGCUUGUAGGCGGUUUGUCGCGUCUGCUGUGAAAAUCCGGGGCUCAACCCCGGACUUGCAGUGGGUACGGGGCAGACUAGAGUGUGGUAGGGGAGACUGGAAUUCCUGGUGUAGCGGUGAAAUGCGCAGAUAUCAGGAGGAACACCGAUGGCGAAGGCAGGUCUCUGGGCCAGCUACUGACGCUGAGAAGCGAAAGCAUGGGGAGCGAACAGG
rnacentral:rRNA from 1 species